rnacentral:sRNA from 1 species
GCGAGAUCACACGCCCGAGCCGGGUGUGCGAACGUUAAACUGACGGCGAAGUGCCAGGCGCAGCCCCGUGCCCUUCGACCAGAAUCAGCCAGCAGCCGCUGCAACCCCAGGGAG